rnacentral:rRNA from 1 species
AGGACGAACGCUGGCGGCGUGCUUCACACAUGCAAGUCGAACGGGGCUCAUUCGGUGGUAACACCGGAGAAGGCCUAGUGGCGAACGGGUGCGUAACACGUGAAGAACCUGCCCCGAAGACUGGGAUAACAGCGGGAAACCGCUGCUAAUACCGGAUGACCCCACCAGGCCGCAUGGCCAGGUGAGGAAAUGGGCCUACCGCUUCGGGAGGGCUUCGCGGCCUAUCAGCUUGUUGGUGGGGUAACGGCCUACCAAGGCUACGACGGGUAGCUGGUCUGAGAGGACGACCAGCCACACUGGGACUGAGACACGGCCCAGACUCCUACGGGAGGCAGCAGUGGGGAAUCUUGCGCAAUGGGCGAAAGCCUGACGCAGCAACGCCGCGUGAGGGAUGAAGGUCUUCGGGUUGUAAACCUCUUUCGAGCAGGGACGAUUGUGACGGUACCUGCAGAGAAGCUCCGGCACUACGCGCCAGCAGCCGCGGU